GAUGAACGCUGGCGGCGUGCCUAAUACAUGCAAGUAGAACGCUGAAGGAAGGAGCUUGCUCUUUCCGGAUGAGUUGCGAACGGGUGAGUAACGCGUAGGUAACCUGCCUGGUAGUGGGGGAUAACUAUUGGAAACGAUAGCUAAUACCGCAUAACAGUAGAUGUUGCAUGAUAUCUACUUAAAAGGUGCAAUUGCACCACUACCAGAUGGACCUGCGUUGUAUUAGCUAGUUGGUGAGGUAACGGCUCACCAAGGCGACGAUACAUAGCCGACCUGAGAGGGUGAUCGGCCACACUGGGACUGCGACACGGCCCAGACUCCUACGGGAGGCAGCAGUAGGGAAUCUUCGGCAAUGGACGGAAGUCUGACCGAGCAACGCCGCGUGAGUGAAGAAGGUUUUCGGAUCGUAAAGCUCUGUUGUAAGAGAAGAACGAGUGUGAGAGUGGAAAGUUCACACUGUGACGGUAUCUUACCAGAAAGGGACGGCUAACUACGUG
rnacentral:rRNA from 1 species